GAUUUAACACGAAGUGAGUGGCGGACGGGUGAGUAACACGUGGGUAACCUGCCCAGAAGCAGGGGAUAACACCUGGAAACAGAUGCUAAUACCGUAUAACAGAGAAAACCGCCUGGUUUUCUUUUAAAAGAUGGCUCUGCUAUCACUUCUGGAUGGACCCGCGGCGCAUAGCUAGUUGGUGAGGUAACGGCUCACCAAGGCGAUGAUGCGUAGCCGACCUGAGAGGGUAAUCGGCCACAUUGGGACUGAGACACGGCCCAGACUCCUACGGGAGGCAGCAGUAGGGAAUCUUCCACAAUGGACGCAAGUCUGAUGGAGCAACGCCGCGUGAGUGAAGAAGGGUUACGGCUCGUAAAGCUCUGUUGUUAAAGAAGAACGUGGGUGAGAGUAACUGUUCACCCAGUGACGGUAUUUAACCAGAAAGCCACGGCUAACUACGUGCACGCAGCCGCGGUAAUACGUAGGUGGCAAGCGUUAUCCGGAUUUAUUGGGCGUAAAGCGAGCGCAGGCGGUCUUUUAAGUCUAAUGUGAAAGCCUUCGGCUCAACCGAAGAAGUGCAUUGGAAACUGGGAGACUUGAGUGCAGAAGAGGACAGUGGAACUCCAUGUGUAGCGGUGAAAUGGCUAGAUAUAUGGAAGAACACCAGUGGCGAAGGCGGCUGUCUGGUCUGUAACUGACGCUGAGGCUCGAAAGCAUGGGUAGCGAA
rnacentral:rRNA from 1 species